rnacentral:lncRNA from 1 species
CCUGAGCCAGGAGGAGAUCGACCGGAUGGUCAAGGAGGCGGAGGAGUUUGCCGAGGAGGACAAGAAGGUGAAGGAGCGCAUCGACGCCCGGAACCAGCUGGAGACGUACGUGUACAACAUGAAGAACACGGUGGGCGACAAGGACAAGCUUGCGGACAAGCUGGAGAGCGAGGAGAAGGAGAAGGUGGAGGAGGCCCUGAAGGAGGCGCUCGAGUGGCUGGACGAGAACCAGACGGCCGAGAAGGAGGACUACGAGGAGAAGCUCAAGGAGGUGGAGGCCGUGUGCAACCCCAUCGUGUCGGCCGUGUACCAGAGGUCCGGCGGCGCGCCUGGAGGCGAGGGCGCCGACGGCGGCGUCGACGACGAGGACCAUGACGAGCUGUAGAUUUGCUUUGGA